GACGAACGCUGGCGGCGUGCUUAACACAUGCAAGUCGAACGGUGAAGCUCCAGCUUGCUGGUGUGGAUCAGUGGCGAACGGGUGAGUAACACGUGAGCAACCUGCCCCAGACUCUGGAAUAAGCGCUGGAAACGGCGUCUAAUACUGGAUACGAGAUCAAGCCGCAUGGUUAUGGUCUGGAAAGUUUUUCGGUUUGGGAUGGGCUCGCGGCCUAUCAGCUUGUUGGUGAGGGAAUGGCUCACCAAGGCGACGACGGGUAGCCGGCCUGAGAGGGCGACCGGCCACACUGGGACUGAGACACGGCCCAGACUCCUACGGGAGGCAGCAGUGGGGAAUAUUGCACAAUGGGCGAAAGCCGGAUGCAGCGACGCCGCGUGAGGGAUGACGGCCUUCGGGUUGUAAACCGCUGUCAGCAGGGAAGAAGCGAAAGUGACGGUACCUGCAGAAGAAGCACCGGCUAACUACGUG
rnacentral:rRNA from 1 species